rnacentral:antisense_RNA from 1 species
CUUGAGCGAGCCGAGCCGCAGCGGCUCGCCCGCCGCCCGGUCACGGCCGUAGGUGGCGAUCAGGGCCUGGGCCUC